GACGAACGCUGGCGGCGUGCUUAACACAUGCAAGUCGAACGAUGAAGCCCUUUCGGGGGUGGAUUAGUGGCGAACGGGUGAGUAACACGUGGGUAACCUGCCCUGUACCCUGGGAUAAGCCUUGGAAACGAGGUCUAAUACCGGAUAUGACCUGCUCUCGCAUGGGGGUGGGUGGAAAGUUUUGGCGGUGCAGGAUGGACCCGCGGCCUAUCAGCUUGUUGGUGGGGUGAUGGCCUACCAAGGCGACGACGGGUAGCCGGCCUGAGAGGGCGACCGGCCACACUGGGACUGAGACACGGCCCAGACUCCUACGGGA
rnacentral:rRNA from 1 species